UACAGAGGGUGCAAGCGUUGUUCGGAAUUAUUGGGCGUAAAGAGCUCGUAGGCGGCUUGUCACGUCGGUUGUGAAAGCCCGGGGCUUAACCCCGGGUCUGCAGUCGAUACGGGCUAGCUAGAGUGUGGUAGGGGAGAUCGGAAUUCCUGGUGUAGCGGUGAAAUGCGCAGAUAUCAGGAGGAACACCGGUGGCGAAGGCGGAUCUCUGGGCCAUUACUGACGCUGAGGAGCGAAAGCGUGGGGAGCGAACAGG
rnacentral:rRNA from 1 species